AUGUUUCUUCCUUUAUUUUUUCAUUCUAGCGGCCGUGAAACUCCACCACGGCAGCUACAUGCGCCGUCUGUUGCUCCCGUGAAGUGUAUCUCAGGCAGCCGCAACAUCACUGUGGCGGCCAGCGGCUGCUCCCUCCCUACUGCCGCGGUCGCCACUAACUAUUUCAUUGCCAAUGUGUGUGUAUGUAUGCCAUUGUGUUGUGUGUAUGUGUGUUGCAGUGGAUUUCUUCAAUCAAUUCAACUUUUUUAG